rnacentral:rRNA from 1 species
CCUACGGGAGGCUGCAGUCGAGAAUCAUUCACAAUGGGGGAAACCCUGAUGGUGCGACGCCGCGUGGGGGAAUGAAGGUCUUCGGAUUGUAACCCCCUGUCAUGUGGGAGAAAAUUAAAAAGAUAGUACCACAAGAGGAAGAGAUGGCUAACUCUGUGCCAGCAGCCGCGGUAAUACAGAGGUCUCAAGCGUUGUUCGGAAUCACUGGGCGUAAAGCGUGCGUAGGCUGUUUCGUAAGUCGUGUGUGAAAGGCGCGGGCUCAACCCGCGGACGGCACAUGAUACUGGGAGACUAGAGUAAUGGAGGGGGAAGCGGAAUUCGCGGUGUAGCAGUGAAAUGCGUAGAUA